GGACUACUCGGGUUUCUAAUCCUGUUUGCUCCCCUAGCUUUCGUGCCUCAGCGUCAGUUGUGGUCCAGUGAGCCGCUUUCGCCACAGGUGUUCCUUCCGAUAUCUACGCAUUUCACCGCUACACCGGAAAUUCCACUCACCUCUCCCACACUCAAGCCCGGCAGUUUCUCGUGCAGACUUCGAGUUGAGCCCGAAGAUUUCACACAAGACUUACCGAACCGCCUACGCACCCUUUACGCCCAAUAAUUCCGAACAACGCUUGCCCCCCUCGUAUUACCGCGGCGGCUGGCAC
rnacentral:rRNA from 1 species